rnacentral:rRNA from 1 species
UACGGAGGGGGCUAGCGUUGUUCGGAAUUACUGGGCGUAAAGCGCACGUAGGCGGCUUUGUAAGUUAGAGGUGAAAGCCCGGGGCUCAACUCCGGAAUUGCCUUUAAGACUGCAUCGCUAGAACGUCGGAGAGGUAAGUGGAAUUCCGAGUGUAGAGGUGAAAUUCGUAGAUAUUCGGAAGAACACCAGUGGCGAAGGCGACUUACUGGACGACCGUUGACGCUGAGGUGGCGAAAGCGUGGGGAGCAAACAGG